GCCGCCGCGCCGCCCCCCGGGUCUCCAGCGCGGUUCACAUGAAGCAUAAUCAACUCAAGAUCAUCUAUUUUGUCCCAAAAGGCAAAAUUUCAUCUUUUCAAAUAACUGAGCAUCCAAUUGAACAAAUUCCAUAAUUUCUUUCUGCAGUCAUCUGCUGCUGGGCACUUACGUUGCUGUGGAUAAUGCUGCUAUGAACAAAGGGCCAGCCCCCCUCCCUGACAGAAAUGAAAGACGAAGAGAGACGUGCAGCGGGGGAGAAAGGACCCUCUCCGGAGCUUCGUCCAGCUCCCGGCAGCUCCUGACCUCCUUGCCUCACCCGUCACUGAAUGCCACUGAAUGCCACGGAGGUGCUGGGUGCCCCCUUGAUUUGAAUCCCAUGCAGAGACCCCUCAGCCGUCUGCGCAUCUGUCCUGCCCGGGACACAGCCCCGGGCCGCCGGGCCGCCACGUGCCCGCACAGCCUGUUCCGGCUGAGCCCGCCUGGGGCUGCUUGGGCCCAGCCCGGGUGAUCUCCUGCAUCAUGUGCUUGGCCCUUCGGGCUCAGACUCUUCCUGUUCUCCUUUCAAAAUGACCUCCCCACAGUCUUUGAUUUUACCCCUGCCCAGCUGUCCACCUUGUGAGCUGUCAUUAGCGUCACCCAUUCCUGAGCACCUGCUGCUCUUGCAAAGUUGAGGAGCCGCCCCCGCCCUACCAGUCCUGGCUGUUGCCAGAGAAAGAGGCUGGGGUCACACCACUGAUUUCCCAGCACAGAGGGCAACUCCUUUGUAGGGCACACCCUGGGGGCAGCUGUUCCUCUGUGGGCUCCAGCACCGAUGGGGAAGCUGUGCUCAGAGGAGGCCCCGAAGCCACGUUUGAGGCUCUGCCAGGGGCUGUCCCUGUCUCCAGGCCGGGGACCUCGAGGGCAUAUUGGCUGUGCUGCUGGCCUUCUACCUGACUCUCGGUCCUCUCCUGGCCUCUGACUUUCUGACUUGCAAAACACAGCGAAGACUGGAAUGGUCAGCUCAAUGAAACCCUCUUUAGUGGACAAGAUCCCAGGCCGAGCUGUGGAGGCUGGGGAAGGACCCACAGUCGGCGGCAUCAGCGGAAGGGGUGCUUUAUGGUGCUGGGUCAGUCUCCGCCAUGGGUCUCCUGCAGCCCGGGUCAGGGGUUACGCUACUUCCAGCCCAUCAAUGGAUCCCGGAUCUGGUCCCACCCGUAGCCCAUGGAUAACAUCCCCUCUGCGCCAGGGGGUCUCAUAGUCAGGGGGAGUCUCGAUGUAAGGCCUGAAUUCUCUUCAUGCCGCUCAGCCUUGCGACCUUACCUGCUGGGGCCGAGGGCUGUGGCACGUUCUGCUCAGCACCCACCUGGCAGUUCUAGGCCGGCUCCUCCACUGAGAGGCGCAGGUGUGGGCGUCCUGCAGAGGGUGCCCCACCCCCAGCCUCCACACACUCAGCUUGGGGCCACUGUGCUUUGGGUCCUGGUGAGUUUGGGUCGGCAGAAGAGGCUGCCCCAGAGGGCUUCAGCUUGUGGCCCAUGGUGGACUCGUUGCUGAAGCCAAAGUCUGCAACCCUGAUGUUCAGGUCAGUUUCCAAAAGCAGGUUGUCUGGCUUUAGGUCCCUGAGGACGCGGUCGGCCAGUCGUCCUGGGCCACCUCUUCCGGGUGGCCGUGGCCCGGCAGGUGAUCAAACAUGUCUCUCCUGCUGGGGCCCCCUGACCUGGUGGUGUUUCCAUGGUGUCAGUCACCUUUCAUAGUUCUGCUGUGGGGGGGAUUCGCGCACAAGUCCCCCCGCGGCCCUCGGAGCGUCGCCCGACUGCCGAGGCUCGGCGGUCCUUGCCUGCCUUCACAGCACGUGCCGCGCCAGCUGCCCUGGCGGCGACCUGGGGGUCAGUCGAGGUCCUUGGGGCUGGCCACAAGGCCCCCAACAUGAUCACUUGCUGAUAAUAGUAACUAAAAAAAGAGCCAACUAGAUACUAGCUGGGGAAAAAAGUGAGAAAGACGGAACACAUGAGACGAAGCUCCCAAAGAGCAAACGGCCACAAUCUCUCAGGUCAUCGAAUACCAGUUUCUUGGGGUAGAAGGUCCAGAAUCCCGGACCCAACAAGGAACUGCCCAGGGGCUCGGCCGCCUCACCGGCCCCUGCAGGCCAGACCAGGGCCUGUAAUGAGAUAACUCACAGCCACUUCCCCACUUUUGGUCUCGCAGACCCUUUAGUGUCUUGAUGAGGGAUAUAGACUCUGACAGGAGUCGGAAGGCUGCUUCCUGGCCUUGCUAGUUUGAAAAUCCAGUCAUUGCUUGGCUUUCAAGCCACUCGACUUUAAUGACAUCCUCGAGGCUGAUCCUCUGCCAUUCUCUGGCCUGCAUCCUCCAGUUUCGGCAAAAGUCUUUCUGAGUCUUUUGGAGCGACCCCUGCGCCCUGAGAUCUAACCACAUCCCUCCUCGGCCGUGCGAUCAGUUUGACAAGAGGAAAUACACGCUGCUCUCAGCCCUUGGCUCUUGGGCAGGGCCUGGGAACCUUUGUUGGUUUCCUGAGCCGGGGGCGUGUGUGCUGGUGAGGUGGCGCGGGCCGGCGGCAAGCUGACCCCAGUGGGGACUGGCCGCCAGAAAGACAGUUGUUACAGUUAUGAGAUUUUUCAGCUCCACUCUCCACCCUCCAGAGAUGCGAGAAGGGCUGGAAACUGAGUCAAUGAUUGGCCAUACCUGCCUGAGGAGGCCCCCACUGUGUGGGACUUGGAGGACUUGCGGGUGCCAUGGGGACGGAAACUCCUGUGUAGAACCCUCCAGACCUGUGUGCCUCCCCACGGGCCAUUCACCUGUGCCAUUUACCCUGUUCUUCAAUAAACCGGUGAACAGAAGUCUUCCUCUGAGCUCUGUUAGUCACUCCAGCAAAUGAUCAAAUUCAAGGCGGGG